GCAGCAUUUGAAGAAUACAGAGAACUUCACUUAGAAGUCAGAUGGAACUCAGAAUGAAAGAUCUUGAAUCUGAAGUCUCCAACAGGAAAACUUCUUGAGAAGUCUUUCAUUAUAUUGAAUUGGGAAAAUACAAGCACCUCUAUCAAUUAGAAUUGGAAGCUAGAAAAUACUUGUCAAACAAAAUUAAAAAUCUUCACAGAACUACUGAGAGACUAGCAGCAUUCAGUAGCAAUCUUUUUGUGGAGACAGGAGACCAGAACUUUCUUUACCACUCAUGGACAGUCCUAUAGUCACCUCCUGGUGGCAAUCUUAAUAAUGGUUUAGGUCUUCACAGAGAAUUUACUUCAAAAGAAUACUCAACAUUCUCUUUUUCCUGCCCAUGGACUUCACAUACCGGCAUGAAGAACAACUUGAGUGAGAACUCCAUGGAAUGCCAAACAUGGUGCCCAUGUCCCCUGAAGAUGUAAGAAGAGCAUCCCAAUCCAAAAUUUGAUUUCACCAAAGAAUCUAUUUCUGGAAAAUCUCAAAAUGUAUUCAACAAUGAAAAGCUAUGAUGCUGCUGGAUACUCUCCUGUGGAAGAGCUUCUUCUCUAGAUUCACUGAUGAGUCAAAUCUAAAUGAAGACAUUCUUUAGAAAGCAUCAUGGAAAUAUGUGCCAAUUUUU